rnacentral:lncRNA from 1 species
UUCCCGAGGUAGAUCCCUGCUCGCCCCUCCGAGAGGGGCACCCUAAUCCGUUCACCCCAUCCGGCUUCAGAGUGUACUCUUUGAGUUUAGCAACUCACCACCUACCAAACCUAGUGGAUCAACGGCGCCUCAACUUAGUUCCUGGUCAGCUCGCAAGUUGAUAUUAACACGUUCUACACCGUCCAUAAGAUGGGGGCCCACCUCCCAUUUCAACACCUCUCACACACCCGAGCGGUCGACAGGCGAAUUUGAACCCUUGACACUCCGGGAGCAGAAGUCUGGCCUGAACCUCUGCCAGCCGCCUGCCGUAUGUAUGUUGUUACAGGGUGGUUAACUUCGCCAGCGGCCCCCUUUCCCGGGGCAGUCCCUGCUCUCCCCUGCUAGAGGGGCACCCUAAUCCGUCACCCCAUCCGACUUCAGAAUGUAUUCGUUGAGUUCGGCAACUCACCACCAGCAUCCAACCAAAUCUAGCGGAUCAACGGCGCAUCAACUUAGUUCCUGGUCAGCUCGCAAGUUGAUGUUAUCACGUCCUACACCGUCCAUAAGAUGGGGGGCCACCUCCCAUUUCAUCACUCCUCAAACACCCGAGGAGCCGGCAGGCGGAUUUGAACCCGGGUCGACUGGGUCAACUGGGAGCAGAAGUCAGGCCUUAACCUCUGCCAGCCGCCUGCCGUAUGUAUGUAUACUCUGGACCGUACUCCCCUUCGUUGCCCCUCGUCGUGACAUAACUCCAUGCGGACAAUACUCCACACACACACACCGCCACGCCUUGUUGAGCAGCUUUACGAACUCGUCACACAUGCCGUACAAUGCCAUCAAGGCAGCUGUGCCUCCAUGGAAGUGGGCGGUGGUGGCGGUGCUGUGGCCCCGUCGGAUGAUGGUGUGGACCCCGAGGCGGUGUUAGCUCGGGAGAAUGAGCUGGUGGGGUUGAGAGAUCAGGUUGGGGGGUAGAGGUGUAGGGGGAAGGGGGGAGGGAGGGGGGGAGGGGGCAAGGGGGGCUGUGCCUAGGUUGAGGAACACUACGGGAGACGAGUGUGCAUGACUGUAUACGACCGUAUGCGACUGGGUAUCAGUUCCAGGGGGUCGGGGAGAAAACCCCGGCAAGUCCAUUCAUAAUAUUAAUAGUUUUUUUGGCAUUCGUACACCGUACACAUCACAAUGUUCACACGAUGUACGUCACUCCUGAAACACCUGAAGCGGGAUGAGGAGCUGCCCUGCAGUGAUGUGGUGUGGGGGCAUGGGGGAGGAGGGGGUUGACGGGUGACGGAUAGCGGUGGCGGCGACAUCAACAUAUUCGGAUCUAGCCCUAACGAAGGAUGCAGUGACGGUGGCGGUCGCGGCGUCGGCGGUGACGGUGGCGGCGGGUGGUGGUGGUGGUGGUGGUGGUGGUGACAUGUGCAGGUGGCGGCGAUGGCGGUGGGCGCGGGUGACAGGGGUGGCGGUGGUGGCGGCAGUGGCGGCGGUGGUGCUGGCGAACGGCAGGCGCUGUGCCCAGCUGUAGCGGCUUUGCAAAGUCGGGUGUCGCAUGAUGUUGCCUUCUCGCUUGCAGGAACUCAAGCGUAUACAACAUUUGCAUGACAGCAUCUCCGGAAGCCGCACCUUAUCAGGAUUGACGCAAAAAAAGUAGCAAUUUUCUGUCGACAAUGGGUUGCAUGAUAUCCAUUGCGAGAUAUUUUCCUUGCUCAUCUUGCACUUGUACAGUGUUUGUACGAUGAAGUUGCAAUCCCUCUCUUGUGUCAGCGAGGGUUUCGGGUUUUUGCCGCUAUCUGCCGUCCAUGUUUCUGUAUUUGGGGUGGACUUACAGUAAUCUCCGAGUGUGAUACUGUGUGGGGAUAGACGAAGUCCUGGAAGGGUUGCAAACUGCAAGGUUCAAGCCGUAAAUGAUUUGUGCAGCAACAGGUACGAGUGCACGAGUGGUCUGUUAAGAGAGCAGUCACAUUAUAUGUCGGUUAGUUAGGAGUACACGUUUUGUUGCCGGCUGAUGCAUCUCCUGUCUGAUUGGUAACAUAGUUCAGAACAUGCUGCAGCUGUGGCAUUUGCUGUAGAGUCAAAGGAUGUUGAAUGCUCAUUAGCUGUAGCAAAUCAUACACAUACACACACGGCAAGUGACAAUCUGUAGUUGCUGUGACAAAUGUCGUUUUAAUCGCCAUACAGCUCAUCAUCACCACUCGUACAAACACAUGUACACGUCAUCACAACCUAACACAUACUACAAACACUUAGCAGCGUACUACACUACAAACACCAGUACAUGCUAAUAAUACUAGUUUGGGCACUACUGGUAAGGCAUGACCAUUGCCCCCGGGAGAUGCCGGGAUCAAGACCUGUCAGGGUCGAAAAUCCUUCCGAUGGUGGAAGGCAUUACGCCCCUAGUUGAUGGACGGUGGUGACCUGGGAUAAAGUUAACAUGCGAGUCGACCAGGAAUGGAGCUGGGCCGUCAUAGAUCCGGCAGAUUCUGUUGGAUGCUGGUGGUGGGUAUGGAAACGAUCCACAAAGAAGUUGACUAGGGUGACUGGAUGAGGGUGCCCCGAAAUAUCGGGGAAGGCAGGGUUUCGCAGGGUAGCUGCCACGGGUGAAGAUACACCCCCCUGUUUCACACAUCAUACAGCACAGUGCAAGAAACAGAAUGCCGAAGACAGCCAGAACCUUAGCUCACCGCAGAGCACACGAGCUCGCAAGCAAGCACGCAUGCAUGAUAUGUCGGAAUGGCUGCGCAAAGGGCAGUUGGGCUCACAGUUGGUUGCAUUAAAGGGGUCCCUGCACAAGGCAGGCAGGGCGCGCGUCAUCUAGGCAUACAUGUUGAAGCAAUGCCCUUACUGCUGCUUUGUGUGUGUAUAUAUGUGUGUAUGUAUAUAUAUAUAUAUAUAUGUGUGUAUGUGUGUGUUACAUGGUCGUGGGGUCCGUUCCCCGUACCUGCAGACCGCCUAAUACGAGCUGAGGGCUCAAGGGCUGCCAGAUCGCCUAUAAGCACCGUCCUAUCUCGCACUUCAGACAAAGCAAGUGAUAAAGGAGACUUAAUGACCAAAGGGAAUGAUAGAGUUGCGGUGGGACCACAUACGUUGGCAGAGGUUAAGGCCUGACUUCUGCUCCCGGAAAGUCCGAGUUUAAAUCCGCCUGUCGACCUCUCGGGUAUGUGAGAGAUAUUGGAAUGGGAGGUGGCUCCCCAUCUUAUGGACGGUGUAGGAUGUGUUUAUAUCAACUUGCGAGCUGACCAGGAACUAAGUUGAGGCGCCGUUGAUCCACUAGAUCUGGUAGGAUGCUGGUGGUGAGUUGCUAAACUCAAAGAGUACACUCUGAAGUCGGAUGGGGUGAACGGAUUAGCAGGGGAGAGCAGGGAUCUACCUCGGGAAAGGGGGCCGCUGGUGAAGCUUAACCACCCUGUAACAACAUACAUACGUUACUGUAGUAAGCUACAUUUCCCUAAGCAUAUUUCAACGAAUACUGUUAACAAUAGCUGUUAAUUUCGUUAACGAUUCGACUCGAGCGUCGUACAUGUUACGUACUAUCGUAACAUGUUACGAAGAUGGCAAUUGCUCGUAGUGAACCUAACGGGCUGGGGCCCAGGGCCUCACCGACAGUAUCCUAGCACGGCUGGUAAAGUAGGGAAUCUCCGGCAGGAAGGUCGAGAUAUAAGCUACCCGGGCGGGGUGCUAUGGCCAGGCACUUAAGUAUCACGACUACUAGGUGUUCAGAGGUCAAACUUCGCUGACGCCGUUCCAGUUAUUUAUGUACGCUAGUGCUUGUCGCUGGGUUAGAAUCCGACCCGCCUCAGCAAGGACCUUCAGUUUUACGCUUCCGCAAGGAUCGUCGUUUCAUCAGGUGAGCGACUCCUACAGUUACAGCAUCAUUGCCAGGCGUUCAGGUUCCCACUUCAUAGCGUCCUUCAUAUGCUCGAAGCGUGGAAAAUCCAUAUCAGAUCUGAUUUUGAUGCUCGGCCUUCUAGGCACUCACGAAGGCUCAAGGACCCAUAGCUCGUCACCAGUACCAGUCGUCAGCACUACUUUCGACUCGUAUAGCAGCAUCGUACAUACAACAUACAACACAUCGACAGGGGGAUCACGAGCGUCUGUUCUGCAUCCAUCCAUGCAGCAAAUUAUGAGCAAUGAGUCCUGCUAUAGAUCAACUAGCGACCCUAAUACUGCUGCUGGCACCCCAGGGCCGUGGCACAUGGACAUGAUAUGAUCUGCUAAGCAUGGGCUAUAGCCCACCCGAGUACUGAAGACGGUCCGCACGUACAUACACCCUAUGCUAAGCGAGCUGCAUGCGCCUGCAGGCACCAUUAUAAGAACGCGCGCACGUAGGCAAUAAUAAGCUCCUGUCUAGCCUGUUCCUCCGAUCGCGAUCCAAAUCACGAAAUGGUAAAAGCACGCCACACCCUCUUCUCUCUCGACAGAAGGCGGCGCCCGACCGCCGGAGGGGAGUUGAGCUUGCAGUUGGUCCAGCCGGCGGUGAUGACCUCGAACCUGGGUUCGCCAACCUCGGCCAUGCGGCGACCCAGUGCUGAAACCACCACCCUGUGUGAUCACGUAACAAGGCAACGUGCAAGUCAGGCUAGCACACAGUCGUCGUCAUGUGCACCACGAAACAAAACAUGUUGUAAAUGCAAGGUAUUAAUGAAGGUUAUGCACGUGCAUGGCGACCCAGCAAGCAGUCAGCAGGCAUUUUCAUGCGGGUGUUAACGCCUUACGGUUAUCAAGGGCCGAAGUGACGAAUGCAUGGCGCUGUAGAUGUAUGGAAGCAAAAACAUCUGAGCAAAACGCCUUUCCGAAGUCAGGCCUUACUCAUUGGCUGGCCCAAGCAACAGACAUACAUACCUGAUGGCGGGCAGGGCUCGCGAGUAGCUUGGUGUGGAGUUCGUCAGGGCGCGGUUCAGGUCUUGGACUAAUGCGGGGGGCACGUUGCUCGCCAGCAGCAUGGGCUCGAGGUAGGUCAAGUGUACGGCAAUGAAGGCCUGCAUUAUACAUACAGAUACGUACACCCUACUGUCAGUGUAUGAAGCAUGUCGGCAGCUGCAAGAAAAGUAGUAGCUGGCGGCUGGGAAGGUCUCUUAAGAUGCUGCCGGAGCGCCUUAACGCGUGUUUCUAUAGACGAUAUGAAUGCCGUACUAUUUGCAGCUAUAGUACAGCAUCACAACCGAGUUGGCGCAGGUGGGUUUGCAAUCGAUUGCCGUACUAGUGUGCCUGCUUUCGUGUACUGGACGCGCACGCACCUGGGCUUCUGCAAUCUGUGCUGCAGGGCGCUUGCAGGCCACUGCGACCUCCGCACGGUACACGGAACGCAUGACGCCCUGGAGCCCGAGCAGGGUGAUGUAGCGCUGGACCAUGGCGCGGGUGUCAUUGUACGACACAGCGUUCCCUGCGGAUGUGUGGAUUGGGAAGACAUGUACACGUGACUAGCAGAUAGAUUUGGAUAGGCAGCAGUAGGCAGGGUCCAGUGAUGCAGGCGGCAGGUAGGCAAGCCCUCCUAUCAAUCUGGAGCCAACAUGAGCAUCCGCAUCACCUUUGCGCGCAGCAACCUGCAGCUCGUUCAACGCCAGAGUCAUGGCACUGUUGAUAUAGGAUCUGCCCACGAAGGUCGUCUCCAGGUCCGCGCCCAGCUGAGCCGCCCAGCUUGACAGGGUCGUGCACGCGCUGGGGCUGCCACCGGCCCACAGCGCAAACGCCUCGUCAACAUUGUGGGGUGCACCUGGGGAAAAGAACAUUGGGCCGAGCCAGACGCAUCAGUCAUAAACGUUACAUGAAUUAUUUAGCUAAUGGAGCUGCUAACUACCUGCUAUGGUUUCAGCGGCAAGCACGUCACUUCGAAAGUAAAUAAAAACAUUCCACUUCAAGGGUCCUGAUUGGUCUUUCAGCAGCAAAAUGAACUCUGUCAGAGUAAACAUAAAAUACAUACGAAGAAACCUUUCCCUGUAAGCAAGCACGCAUGUCUUUGGUGCAGCUCGCUCGCACGACGAUGAAACUCCCGCAGCCGUAGGACGGUUUCUGAUUAAUACCCCGACAAACCCAGACCGUCCGACCUGACCGGGCGCGUUUGUAAGUAACGCACCCGUUGCAUCGCUAAUGAGUAUGCCGUUGUUAGCGGUGUCGUUCAGGUAGGUGGCGACGUUGGUGAAGCCCUCAUCCACCUCGUGAAAGAAGUACUUCAGCACUGCAACCUGAUGGAUGACAUGCGCGGGUGCCCAUUUAGUAUGCAGGGGCGUUAGGCGGGUGCGUAGCUGGGGUUCCAACUGAAAUGCAUGCGUGUACAACUAAACAAGCAAGAACAGCAGGAUCUAUUUAUCCGUCCUUUUCUCCUUCGUAACUUCUUAUAACCCACUCACGCACCUGGAUCAGGCCAGCAGCCAGCGGUCCGUUGCGCUUUGCGAUGGCAUCCCUGCGGCAGCAGGUGGUCACCGUGCAGCAGUUACGAGAGCAAGCACAUUCAACAGCAUUGCAUCAUCACAUUUGUCCUGCUGCUUUACGCACACUAGCUCAUCACUGCCUACUUUCUAUCGAGGGGCGACCCCUAGUACUACCUGUACUAGGUAGUGACGACCAAACGAUUAGCUGUGGAUCGACGACUGAAUACAUACAUACAUACAACUUCCUAAGCUGAGCCAAACAAUCAGCAGUGCCCAGACCAGCGCACUGCGGUGCGCAAAGAGCGACGGAUGGCCUCGACGACCCACGCACUCAUCACGCACUUGAUCAUGGAGUCCAGCCAUGAGGCAUUGCGGCCCAUAGCCAGGGCGUCGUGCAGGGGCUCCACGACACCAGCGCCGGGCGUGAAGCUGGCGAAACGCUGGCAGCAGCAACAACAAUAACAACAACAGCAACGACAGCAGCAACAACAACGACAAGUAAACGACAAUAAUACGGAGUACCUCAAGGAAUCUUAGGGAGAUGCAUCACAUAUCAAGUAUGCAGGACUAUGCACGCACCCCUGCACCAAAGCCGACCGACAGUUACUGCCCUGCCAGCAGUCGGUGCAUGCAUAUACAGUUGUUUGCAUUGUAAGGUCAAGCAUCAUUAUUGGCUAGGCGCGUGCCUGCCCCGACAAGCUUACGUAGAACGUGCGGCGUGUCAGGCCAUUCCAUGAGUUCUUUCCGGUGGUGUAGAUUCCGAGGGCAGCACUGAAGUUGCCGGCAGUGAUGGCGGCCUGCAGGCAAGUUAACAUGUAAUUGCGUUCACCAACACAAAGGUAGUUUAUCGCGGCGAACUCGACGACCCAAAUCAACCAUGUUAAUAGCCGACCUGGCGCCGGAUGAAUGCGCAGAACGCAUUGGGCGGCUGUCGUUAAGAACCCAACCCAUCCAGUAGGUAGCUGGCAUAGCCUCAGCCGCUCUACGAUACCUGAAUGUCGCAGUAGUCCAUGGUCAUGUUGACGUAGCCGAUCACAUUCGAUGCAUAACUGUAUCCAUCGAAACGAGUACCCAACGUUGUGUUCUGGCCCUGAGCUGUCGUCCACAGGAAUAACGCAGCAAAGAUAGGGAGAACAACGAAAGAAACGCGAGAACGCAUCGUGGUGGCUGAUGACAAACUGCUGUGAUCGCGUGUUGCCUGCUUGAACAAUUGAUGAAAAAUUGGUUAAGAAUUUAUAUGCAUCCAUGUCCUCACUUAUAAAACGCUUUGUACUGAUUAAUUGUAGUGCCGGCACCACUACACGCGCCUGGCGCGCGCCCGUCGGCUUCUACGGGCCUUACGCCUGCUAGUCCUGCUGAAGGGUCCCACACGCGCUCAGCUACAAGGUCAGCUACGUUGUUGAAAGUUUUUGGGUUGGAAAGUAACACCUAAUAUCUUUUUUUUAAAAUCAUCCUAUGCUUACUGUGAAGGAUUUGUCUGGUCGCCAUCGCUCGAUUCAGGGGCCCGUUACUCAUACGCUAUUUUCUCUCCAUAGUAUCUGACCAACGUAUCAGCUGACCUUCUUUCCAAGCUUAUGUUUGAAAGUACAUUACGUUUUCGCAAUUCAUCCAGGCGUAAAGCUUAAAGUAUCAUCUUCACCCCGCCGAUCCUAGAACAUCCUAGUUAUAGCAGAAGAGCAUGAUAGGGAUUUUCAACCUGGUUUAAAAGCUUACGGAUUAAAAGUCACAAAACAAAAGUGACCAAACAUUAGAUGGCAAUGUAUGUUCCCACGCAUUAAGAAGUCAAUUACAGGCACCGCCGCACACCCUCACCGUCGCUGUUCGAAAAUUAUUGCUAUCACACGACACAACCUCAACCAUGAAAUUAUGAAGCUCUAAUGUAGAAUAGCACGCGCCCCGUCGCUCCCGAUUUGUAUGAUGUGUGCCAGGGGAAAUGUGUGCCGACUCAUCAGCAGCUCCUCGGACGAAGGGUUGAAGCAGGGCGUUGCGCAUGAUGCAUGUAUUACUGCACAGAUUCAUUACUGCAUGAAUUAAUGUCUCACAUUCAUCUAAUUGAUCAAACGCAUAAAACGGCUUUGUAUAUGUUAAACCAGUAUAAAAUGGACGACGGAAGAUUUGUGGCUGAUUAGCACGUAUCUUCAAACCAAAUAUUUCAUGGCCUUAAAUUCGAGUUAUAGCUUCCCCAGAUGCACUAACGCCAUCUCUAGGAUCGGCGGCGUCAGGACACGUAUGCGCUUUACGACUGAGGAAAUGGGAACAAUUUAUUAUCAUUUUCAUGCCAAAUGAAAUGACUUGGAACAAUACUAGGGAACUUGUGAGGGAGCGAUUCGUAUGCUUUGAACAACGAGCGCCGUUGCCGCAGCGUCGGCGGCGACUGUUAUAAAGAAGAUAAUAGGUGUUUCUUUCCAACCCAAAAACUUUCAAUAACGUAGCUGACCUUGUCGCUGAGCGCGUGUGGGACCCUUCAGCAGGACCAGCAGGCGUAAGGCCCGUAGACGCCGACGGGCGCGCGCCAGGCGCGUGUAGUGGUGCCGGCACUACAAUUAAUCAGUACAAAGCGUUUUAUUAGUGAGGACAUGGAUGCAUAUAAAUUCUAACCAAUUUUUCAUCAAUUGUUCAAGCAGGCAACACGCGAUCACAGCAGUUUGUCAUCAGCCACCACGAUGCGUUCUCGCGUUUCUUUCGUUGUUCUCCCUAUCUUUGCUGCGUUAUUCCUGUGGACGACAGCUCAGGGCCAGAACACAACGUUGGGUACUCGUUUCGAUGGAUACAGUUAUGCAUCGAAUGUGAUCGGCUACGUCAACAUGACCAUGGACUACUGCGACAUUCAGGUAUCGUAGAGCGGCUGAGGCUAUGCCAGCUACCUACUGGAUGGGUUGGGUUCUUAACGACAGCCGCCCAAUGCGUUCUGCGCAUUCAUCCGGCGCCAGGUCGGCUAUUAACAUGGUUGAUUUGGGUCGUCGAGUUCGCCGCGAUAAACUACCUUUCUUGUGUUGGUGAACGCAAUUACAUGUUAACUUGCCUGCAGGCCGCCAUCACUGCCGGCAACUUCAGUGCUGCCCUCGGAAUCUACACCACCGGAAAGAACUCAUGGAAUGGCCUGACACGCCGCACGUUCUACGUAAGCUUGUCGGGGCAGGCACCGACAAUAAUCAUGCUAUUUCCCGCCUAGCCAAUAGCGAUGCUUGACCUUGCAAUGCAAACAACUGUACAUGCAUGCGCUGGCUGCUAGCAGGGCAGUAAGCGUCGGUCGGCUUGGGCGCAGGGGUGCGUUCAUAGUCCUGCAUACUUAAAAUGUGAUGCAUCUCCCUAAGAUUUCUUGAGGUACUCCAUAUUAUUGUCGUUUACUUGUUGUUGUUGCUGCUGCUGCCAGCGUUUCGCCAGCUUCACGCCCGGCGCUGGUGUCGUGGAGCCCCUGCACGACGCCCUGGCUAUGGGCCGCAAUGCCUCAUGGCUGGACUCCAUGAUCAAGUGCGUGAUGAGUGCGUGGGUCGUCGAGGCCAUCCGUCGCUCUUUGCGCACCGCAGUGCGCUGGUCUGGGCACUGCUGAUUGUUUGGCUCAGCUUAGGAAGUUGUAUGUAUGUGUUCAGUCGUCAAGAUCCACAACUAAUCGUUUGGUUGUCACUACCUAGUACAGGUAGUACUAGGGGUCGCCCCUCGGUAGAAAGUAGGCAGUGAUGAGCUAGUGUGCGUAAAGCAGCAGGACAAAUGUGAUGAUGCAAUGCUGUUGAAUGUGCUUGCUCUCGUAACUGCUGCACGGUGACCACCUGCUGCCGCAGGGAUGCCAUCGCAAAGCGCAACGGACCGCUGGCUGCUGGCCUGAUCCAGGUGCGUGAGUGGGUUAUAAGAAGUUACGAAGGAGAAAAGGACGGAUAAAUAGAUCCUGCUGUUCUUGCUUGUUUAGUUGUACACGCAUGCAUUUCAGUUGGAACCCCAGCUACGCACCCGCCUAACGCCCCUGCAUACUAAAUGGGCACCCGCGCAUGUCAUCCAUCAGGUUGCAGUGCUGAAGUACUUCUUUCACGAGGUGGAUGAGGGCUUCACCAACGUCGCCACCUACCUGAACGACACCGCUAACAACGGCAUACUCAUUAGCGAUGCAACGGGUGCGUUACUUACAAACGCGCCAAGUCAGGUCGGGCGGUCUGGGUUUGUCGGGGUAUUAAUCAGAAACCGUCCUACGGCUGCGGGAGUUUCAUCGUCGUGCGACGAGCUGCACCAAAGACAUGCGUGCUUGCUUACAGGGAAAGGUUUCUUCGUAUGUAUUUUAUGUUUACUCUGACAGAGUUCAUUUUGCUGCUGAAAGACCAAUCAGGACCCUUGAAGUGGAAUGUUUUUAUUUACUUUCGAAGUGACGUGCUUGCCGCUGAAACCAUAGCAGGUAGUUAGCAGCUCCAUUAGCUAAAUAAUUCAUGUAAUGCUUAUGACUGAUGCGUCUGGCUCGUCCCAAUGUUCUUUUCCCCAGGUGCACCCCACAAUGUUGACGAGGCGUUUGCGCUGUGGGCCGGUGGCAGCCCCAGCGCGUGCACGACCCUGUCAAGCUGGGCGGCUCAGCUGGGCGCGGACCUGGAGACGACCUUCGUGGGCAGAUCCUAUAUCAACAGUGCCAUGACUCUGGCGUUGAACGAGCUGCAGGCUGCUGCGCGCAAAGGUGAUGCGGAUGCUCAUGUUGGCUCCAGAUUGAUAGGAGGGCUUGCCUACCUGCCGCCUGCAUCACUGUAUCCUGCCUACGGCUGCCUAUCCAAAUCUAUCUGCUAGUCACGUGUACAUGUCUUCCCAAUCCACACAUCCGCAGGGAACGCUGUGUCGUACAAUGACACCCGCGCCAUGGUCCAGCGCUACAUCACCCUGCUCGGGCUCCAGGGCGUCAUGCGUUCCGUGUACCGUGCGGAGGUCGCAGUGGCCUGCAAGCGCCCUGCAGCACAGAUUGCAGAAGCCCAGGUGCGUGCGCGUCCAGUACACGAAAGCAGGCACACUAGUACGGCAACAAAUCCACCUGCGCCAACUCGGUUGUGAUGCUGUACUAUAGCUGCAAAUAGUACGGCAUUCAUAUCGUCUAUAAAAGCACGCGUUAAGGCGCUCCGGCAGCAUCUUAAGAGACCUUCCCAGCCGCCAGCUACUACUUUUCUUGCAGCUGCCGACAUGCUUCAUACACUGACAGUAGGGUGUACGUAUCUGUAUGUAUAAUGCAGGCCUUCAUUGCCGUACACUUGACCUACCUUGAGCCCAUGCUGCUGGCGAGUAACGUGCGCCCCGCAUUAGUCCAAGACCUGAACCGCGCCCUGACGAACUCCACACCAAGCUACUCGCGAGCCCUGCCCGCCAUCAGGUAUGUAUGUCUGUUGCUGGGGCCAGCCAAUAAGUAAGGCCUGACUUCGGAAAGGCGUUUUGCUCAGAUGUUUUUGCUUCCAUACAUCUACAGCGCCAUGCAUUCGUCACUUCGGCCCUUGAUAACCAUAAGGCGUUAACACCCGCAUGAAAAUGCCUGCUGACUGCUUGCUGGGUCGCCGUGCACGUGCAUAACCCUCGUUAAUACCUUCGGUGCAUAUACAACAUGUUUUUUCCGUGGUGCACAUGACGACGACUGUGUGCUAGCCUGACUUGCACGUUGCCUUGUUACGUGAUCACACAGGGUGGUGGUUUCAGCACUGGGCCGCCGCAUGGCCGAGGUUGGCGAGCCCAGGUUCGAGGUCAUCACUGCUGGCUGGACCAACUGCAAGCUCAACUCCCCUCCGGUGGUCGGGCGCCGCCUUCUGUAGAGAGAGAAGAGGGUGUGGCGUGCUUUUACCAUUUCGUGAUUUGGAUCGCGAUCGGAGGAACAGGCUAGACAGGAGCUUAUUAUUGCCUACGUGCGCGCGUUCUUAUAAUGGUGCCUGCAGGCGCAUGCAGCUCGCUUAGCAUAGGGUGUAUGUACGUGCGGACCGUCUUCAGUACUCGGGUGGGCUAUAGCCCAUGCUCAGCAGAUCAUAUCAUGUCCAUGUGCCACGGCCCUGGGGUGCCAGCAGCAGUAUUAGGGUCGCUAGUUGAUCUAUAGCAGGACUCAUUGCUCAUAAUUUGCUGCAUGGAUGGAUGCAGAACAGACGCUCGUGAUCCCCCUGUCGAUGUUUUGUAUGUUGUAUGUACGAUGUUUUGUAUGUACGAUGCUGCUAUACGAGUCGAAAGUAGUGCUGACGACUGGUACUGGUGACGAGCUAUGGGUCCCUGAGCCUUCGUGAGUGCCUAGAAGGCCGAGCAUCAAAAUCAGAUCUGAUAUGGAUUUGCCACGCUUCGAGCAUAUGAAGGACGCUAUGAAGUGGGAACCUGAACGCCUGGCAGUGAUGCUGUAACGUAUGUGGUCCCACCGCAACUCUAUCGUUCCCUUCGGUCGUUAGUCUGCUUUAGCACCUGCUUUGUCUGAACUGCGAGGUAGGAUGGUACUUAUAGGCGAUCUGGCAGCCCUUGCGCCCUCGGCUUGCAGGUACAGGGAACGGACCCCACGACCAUGUAACACACGCACACACAAAAAAAAAAAACAGCAGUUAAGGUCUUGCUUCGACAUGUAUGCCUAGAAGACUCGCGCCCUGCCUGCCUUGUACAGGGACCCCUCUAAUUCAACCAGCUGUGAGCCCAACUGCCCUUUGCGCAGCCAUUCCGACAUAUCGCGCAUGCGUGCUCGCGAGCUCGUGUGCUCUGCGGUUAGCUAAGGGUUCGUUUUUGUCUUCGGCAUUCCGUUUCUCGAACUGUGCUGUAUGUCAUCCUAGGGGGAAGGCCUGGACGACAGGCUGCAAGGAAACCUCGCUUGGUUGAUGGCUACGAACACAAAAUGGAAUUAUCAUAUUUUGUAACGAGCGUAUGGAAAUGUUUCCUCAUUACCUGCUGCGCUUAGAUGGAUGUAGGUGGAGGUCGCCAAGCUGGCAAGUGAGGGCCCGUUUUAUAGGGAGCCUCUGCUGCGUGAGUAAGCCCGAGGUCAACUGACGCCCCGUAUUCCAGCGCUGGUGGUCGCCCCGCUUUGGUUCUAACGGGCUGCUGUUACUUUGCGUACGGAUGGAAGGUGCUGGGUGGGAUACCGCACGCAGCAGCUGCGUCCCGCAUGCUGCACUGCGUGUGCUCAUAAGUGUGCAGGGCAUCCGCGAGGUCUUGGUGGGUCCAGAGCGGCCAGCGCUGCGGCUUUUGCUUCUUGCGCUGUUUUGGAGGAGCGUGUUCUAAAGUUGGAAGGACCCUGCGCUUGCUUCUGCCCAUGACGGCCCUCUGGAUUUGUUUAACCUAUAUAUUCCAAAAUGUUCCGGGCUUUGCGUUUGUUUCUAGUCGCUGUGACGGCCUGUACACGGUUCCGUGAAACUUGACGACUGACGAGCGAAACCUAAGAAAUCGCGCGGAUCACAUGCCUCUCCGGAUAGUUGUAAGUAUAUGCAUAUGCUCUGAUGGGUAGACGGUACUUUUUUCGUCUCGCGGAAUUCGCGCCUCGUGAAUUGGCGUCUCCAUGCAAGAUUUGAGCCCCGGAACCAAAACCACCUGAAACAAACUGUCUGCCGGCCUCGGAACACAUAAAAUAUCAUACACUUUGAACUUUUCAAAGGCACGAGCUCUAUCUCUUUAGUUAUGCGCUCGAACUUGCCCUGUUCGAAAUUAACCCCUGCCGGGACCACCCGUAUCUAGAAACGAGACCUGACAACUGCCGAGGAUUAUUAUACAGACAGGAUGGCACCACGAGACGUGUUUAGAUUGCUGGCAUGGCAUUUAAUCUCUCUGGUUUUUCUCAGGGCAGUUUCUGCUACGGAACCUCUUCCUUUGCACGCCGAUCGCGUAGACAGCAAAUUCAACGUUCCCGGAGGAUACCUUUCACUUCAGCAUCAAACACCGAACUCUACUCACGCAAUUCUUAUUCCAAGCAAUCGCCCAUGUUAUGACCACGCGCGACUCGUCAAGGAAUUGUACACAUCGCGAUAUUGGAAGCGAACAUCCUUGAUCGAGCUUACGGCUGCACCUCUGAUAUCUUACUGGAGCUGGAAGGGAAAUAUCUCGAUACAUGACUUUGAAGAUGUAGCACGGCAUCCACUUACUAACUACCAUUACAAAAUCUUGGGCGGCAAGCUCUACGUCGAUCCCUCCAGUGACGAUGGCAAAGACACCGACAGGAGAAUGCUUACCGAGGACAUGUUAAGAAUUACAGCUUAUCUUUUUCCUAUACCAGAUAUGGAGUUCUGGGUACAUUAUGGUGACGGCUCUAUGCCAGGGAAACCGGUGUUCACGAUGUGCGCGUCUCGAUCAUCUACGUACGGUUUUGCGAUGCCAUCCUACUCACUAUGGAAAGGCUCCUUAGGUCCAACACAGAUGACCGCUUACCAUGCUUGCUUAAAUGAGAGGUGCGUGCGCGCACGUACGUUGCGCGCGGCGGGCUGUUGUAAUUUGCCUCGCCCGUAGCAAUUUGCUGGAGCUCCUCCUUCUCCCCCUUGUGCAUGUGUAGAAGUGGAGUUAUGAGGUAUUUUUGUGGUACUCGCAGGUACCCUGUCAAAUAUCGCAUACCGCAAGUUGUCUGGCGAGGUAGCUCCACCGGCAAAGUAGAACGCCCUGUCAGCUUGGAAACGUGCAUGAAGGUACGGCGGUUCCAGAUGCGCUUGAUGCACUCCGCUAGGACUGUAAGAGUGAUUUCCGCACCCUUGAAAGAUUAAUUGAUUGUCGAUGCGCGUACCCCGGAAAUUCACUCUUAUUGCUCAGUCCUGCAUUGUGGCAACCCCCGGGACUGCCCUGGGUUGGGGGGGGGAUACGACGAGGCACAGACGUUUGACGCGAAGAAGGAAUAUAGAGGGGUACUCCAAGAUUAGACCAGUUGUAUAGGAUAAUUAGUAAGAUACUGACCCGGUGGGUGGGUGGGGGGAAACUAGAGGGCACUAUCCCAGCAGCCGGACACACCUCUUGGUAAUAGUCAAAAUAGUGGCAGCGAGAGAACCACUGCGCCUGCGCGACCCAAGUAGGAACUCGGCGUCCCCUGCCGUACUGUGAUCCGGCACAUGCAUGCAUGCAUGCGCCCUACUUCCACGCACCACGGCAGCUCCUUCGCAAUAACUACUUGCCUAUCUCUGCACUCAUACUUCGCUUCGAGAAGUCCCCAAGCUUAUUACCUCUUAUGUACCGACCCUGCUGCAGCUGAAACGCGUGCGCCUUCACCUCCUUGCUCGGGAACAUCCGGACCUGCUCGAUGUGAAGCUCAACAGGUUGAAUCAGGAAUGCAAAGGGAUUCUGGGACCCAUUGUUAACGACACUGGCGGCUAUAUACACCCCGAGGAUUACAACAAGUACUGUGUCAUCCUAGACGUCGAUGGCAACACCUGGUCUGACCGCUUCGCCUCGCGCCUGGUUCACUCCUCAACCCCAAUUCUGAAGCUCGCCAGCAACUACACAAGCCACGUGGACCAUUUUUUCGCGCCAGGUGUAACUCUGGAAGAGUUUGACGGCAGUCUGAGCACAGUGGUUGAAACAGCCCGCAGGAUGGUGGAGGACUGCAAACAGAAUGCGGAGUUCUCUCGAGGGCAAGCUCUUGCGCGCCAAUCACAGGAGACGGCGCGAGAGCUUUUGGACCACAUCGGCGUCGUACGGUCCAUGGCGUACGGACUAGUGCAGUACCAGCGGCUGCUUGACUUUCCUUUCAACAGUUCCUUAGAGGGAUUUCAGAAAGUUGACAGGGAGUGCUGUAGCUACAUGAAUUUUCCCGUUGAAUUUGCUGAGGAGCUCAAAAGCGCACUGUGAUUCUUUUUCUAUAUUUUGCUUCAUGUGCUGCAGGGUGCAUGAACCCAUAGCACUCGUACACCCCAUAUCUCUCUUCCACGUGCUAGAUGCAAAGCUAAUUAUCUUUGAAGGGAUACGCAGGCAAGCGGCCUGUUUGCAACGUGCAAUGAACCUCAUAGAUGUCAUCUGUUCGGCAGACCGUACUUAGACCGUACAGCGGGCUUAUUUUACAGACCAAAGCCUAUUUUGAUUCUUAUUUGGUUAAUAACGUAUGAUUCAUAGAAGUGCAACUGCGCAUGCACGUUACACUGAUAAAGCAAUCUCUGUCGUAAUUUUGCUCAAUUGCUACACGCGGUCGAGCGUAAAUAGCGCUCUAUUUCUAAAGCAGCAACUGCGUUCGUUUUCAUUUAAUCACGCGCUGUCACGCGCGAUGAUUGUUUUUGCGGUGAAUUGUUUGUGUGCUGUUUCGAAGUAUAUUUCAAUCUGUGCACAUGUAUACCUGCUGCUGAUUGCCGGUUAUCUUUAAGAGCGCUGUUACCGUUGGUCCUUUACUGAGGUAAAUCUUUUUAUACGGUUUGCGAUUUCGCGUUCGCGUCUUGAGUGUGCGCCGCCAUGUGUUAUGUGUGUAUGUGUGAGAAGAACAACAAAGAGCGAAUGAGCCGAUAUGCGAGAGACAGGAGCUGAGCUUACUUGCAGCUGCAUACACAUUAUGCAAACGCAUAUUUGGGCCGACUAUCAUACACUGCAAUUCCUUGCAGUGAUAUGGCCAAAUAUACGAUAUAUCCGUCCGGAAAUCGUACUGCCUUAUGUAAUGAUGGUGUGAUGCCGCACCGCGUUUCACUUUAAUAGUUGGUGGACAGACGAAGAAGCGCCCAACACGUACGACAGUACGACAAACCUGGUACCACAGACACUGUCGAACGGCGUGCCCUCCAUAAGCUAAUAACCAAUGUACGACAAACUUAGAGACGUGACGCAAACAUGAGAGACGAACCUAUCGUUGCAUCGAAAUGACGUUCCAACUAUGCUGCCGUCAUAGCGAAUUAGGAGUACGGAACCAUACAGGGAUCGAAUAUGUACACGGCGAGAGGCUCCAAAAUUCAUGCGUCUGCUUACAACAUACGUUUGUUAUUAGGCGCCACGCUGAUCGCUUUUGUUAAACCGCACUCGCGUACACGCUCUUGCUUGCUAACUGGUAGUACCCUAUGCAGCAUCGCAACGUGACGCUCGGACACUUGUCAAUGCCUGAUACAACAAAUUGAGCCCCAGAUUCCCGCGCGAGGCCAAGAUCCCCACCACCAUCCCCACCACCACCUUGAAUUCCCACCCCAUCCACGCCCCCCCAACCCGUCCAACCGCACCGAUAGAUCACCCAAUCGGCGCCACCGCCAAGAUACCUCAACCAUUCGCAAAACGACACAGCAGCACCAGCGGCAUCAGCGGCAGCAGCAGUAAGCCCCUAAGAGCAUCUAGCGCAUCACCCACCGAGCGCAUACACUGAACAAACUACUGCCGGCUGCCUACCGGGCUACACAUGCAACCGGGCUACACAUGCAACCUGCUGCUUAUCAGGCCCUCCUCACUGCAGCAGCACCCGCCGCCGUGGGGCCAUCGAGCGCUACAGGUAUCGCUUUUAGCAGGCCUGCACACCCAUAUUCCCACGGCAGUAGCCUCUACGACAUCACCCUAAGUCAGAAGCCGCCGGAAAGGCACUAAGACACCAGCACGGCGAAAGGAAGGAAGGAGAUGGUCAUUCACACGAAUUUGUGCAAAGCCUCAUCUGCACCCACAAAGAAACAUCGAGAGGGGAACUGGAUUGGUCCGAUGAAGAGCUGGCAAACAGAAAUCGCUCGGGAGCUUCAGGCCACAGCGAGAGGAAGAGGGAGAGAGAGCCAGCUCAGCCCGCCGUGACGGCCGCCGCACCCGCCGCCGCCUGACCGGCACAUGUACGGCGCUCCUUGACGUACAUGUACAGCCCAUCGGUUGUGUGUAUGGUGGCGCCGGUGGUCAUGCCAAUCUGCGGAAGAAGAACCGCCCGCGGAAUCAGGUUGGGGUGAGAAAGCUUGACGUAGGUGAAGGCAGCGCACGCGCACACGCACAUACAGACAGACGCACAAUUAGCUAGACUCUUCGCACCGCCUGUAGCUAUUACAUACGCUCUUCCUUCCCUUUCAGAGCCUUCCUUCCCUUUCAGCCGCGAACAGGCCAGGAAAGUGGGAAUACCUUUUGGUUGGGCACCAGCGAAAAAUCAAACUGCCGCAACAACACCGCCAAGGCCACCACAGCCUCCAUCAGCGCGAACUGGUCGCCCACACACUUGCGGGGCCCCCCGCUGAAGGGGAUGUACCUGGGUAGGGUAGGGUAGGGUAGGGUAGGGUAGGGUAGGGUAGGGUAGGGUAGGGUAGGGUAGGGUAGGGUAGGGUAGGGUAAGGGGGAGGAGAGGGAAAGGAAAUGAGGAAUGCAUUGGUGGAUACGGGAAAAAGGGCGCAACGAAACGGGAAAGGUCACAGCUUUCGUUCUCGGCGACGAAAAGGCGCACUACGGAACAGGCAAAGGGGAACGAAGGAAAAAAAGGGGAAAGGGGGAAAAAAGGAACCGUCCCCUCAGACGCGGAUUGACGAAGGGGCAAGAGGGUGUCGUACAUCGGGUGCCGACACAAACACAACAAAUCGCUGUCGUGAACUGUCCAUACGGUGGUUCACUGCGGAAGGCGAUACCUCCGGAAAGGAAGGAACGGCGUUUUGCGGCGAUUCGGACGUAACAGCAGUGCAAGGAAGUCUAGUCAAGUCAAGUACAGCACAGGACAGGACAGGACAACACCGGUAAUACAGCCAAAAGGAAGGAGCAGGUGGAUUGCCGGGGAAGAGGUUUCGCAGACCGGAGGCGCGGACAGAGAAUAGCGCCCGCAAUAAAGCGCCAAACACAUACAUCAACAAACCCUCGCCAUUCGCCCGCCCUCUGUCGUUCCCGCCCCUAGUUCCCUUUCUCUGCUGCCAGCCUCGGAGCCACCAUCCCACCUUGCGCCACUGCCGACGGGGCAUUCCGCCGCUACAGGAAAGCAGUCCUCCAGGGGGUCCCUGCGCCGACCACCUCACCUCGCAUUCCGUGAUGUCCCCCGUGGUGGCGGCGGCCACCCUUCCGCUCGGAAAACCCUAAAGAGCAGCGGCACCUCCCCGCCACCACCCCCACCCCCACCCGGGCUGAGCUGAGCUGCUGACACUCUGUCUCUCUCCGCAUCACACCCACUAACUACCGCGUCCUCCUACUACUACUACCACUACUACUACUAUUCCUACUACUGCUGCUGCUGCUGCCCCCUGGUUUCGAUCUCGCGCUCCGUACUCCCAGGCUAGGUGCCCCUCUCGCCACGGCACUCACCUGAAGUCGGUGUUUUGCUCGCUGGGCACGGGGCCGUCAAGGGGGCCGAAGCGCUCGGGAAUGAAGGCCUGCGGCGGGGAAGGCCGGGAAGACAGGGACGAGUCCUGGGGCUUCGCAGGGUGGGGUGGGAUGGGAGGGCGGUUAGGCUCGCCUGCGGGAGGACCCGGGGCCGGGGCCGGGGGAGAUCACUCCCCGAGAAGCGGAGAGGCACGAGAGGGAGGACGGCGGCGGCGGCGGCGGCGGAGGGAGGGGAAUGGGAAUGAGCGGAUCUUGGCAUCAGCAUCAGCAAGGUGAGGUAAGGUGAGGUGAGGUAAGGUGAGGUGAGGUAAGGUAAGGUAAGGUAAGGUAAGGUAAGGUAAGGUAAGGUAAGGUAAGGUAAGGUAAGGUGAGGUGAGGUGAGGUGAGGUCAGGUGAGGUGAGGUGAGGNGAGGUGAGGGAAGUAACGGCCGCUGUCGGCCGCCACAUACCUCCCCCCCUUCCUCCCCCUCCCUCUCUACUCCUCACACUGAGCAGGGCAGCUUCGACCCCAUCGCGCCGCGGACCAGAAGGAUCCGGAUCUGAAUCCAUAAAAAGGCAGACGGAUUUCCCAGCUCCGAAACCCGAAACCCGUCCCCACCCCCAACCGCACCUCGGGGUUGUCCCACACGGCCUCCGAAUGGUGGAUGUUGUACACGGAGAUCAUCACAUCCUGGCCCACGGGGACCUGUCUCCCCCGGGUGGACGGGGGGGUGGGUGCGGGGGACGUUGAGUGAGUGUGUGUGUAGUGCUGGGGGGAGGUGCUGGGGGCCCGAGGGACCGGCCGGGGCGGACUAGGAUACGGGCGAGGAUGUACAUGUACACAAAAUGGGAGACACGCACACACACAGACACAGACACACGCACGCACACACACACUCUCUCACCCACUCGCUUACACACCUUGCGGCUCGGGUAACUCGGGUAAACACAGACACACACAGACACAGACACACGUCCCUUUCAUUUCAUCACGAAACGCAAACCACUGCAAAACUCACAACAAAGCCCAAAGUAGUAGUGGUGGCACAACACACACGUCCAACACACCCGCACCCGCACCCGCACAGCCUCAGCAAUUACCAAUCCUCCCGCGGCCCAGUUCCGCACUUACAAAACACACACACACACACACACGCACAAGCCCCAAGCGAGUGCGCACCUUGUAGCCCCCCGGCAGCUCGUCCUCCACCAGCGCCCUCCUCAGCAGCACGGGCGGGUGCGGGUAGAGCCGCAUGGACUCGUUCACACAGCGCAUCACGUACCGCAGCUGGCCGUAGUCCGCCAGGGUGGGGGCGGUACGGCUGCCCAUCACGGACUCCACCUCCGCCUGCCGGGUGGGGGAGUUUGAUAAAGGGCAUGUUUGGGGGCACAUAUCAUAUAUAUGUAUAUAUAUACAUAUAUAUGUAUGUAUGUAUGUAUAUCUUAAUGUCAUAUGUGUGUUGGAUGCUGCAGGUGAGGGCGUGUGGUGAGUGUGGUGAGUGUGGUUGCAUCGCGUUGCGGAGUAAGCGGGUGUCAGUUCCGGCAGGCGGGAGGGGGGGAGGUGGAUGAGCGCGGGGGUGGGUGGGGGACCGGGCUGCCACCAACUGCCAUCCGGGACUUCCGCAUUCCCACGUUCCCUGGGCCAGCUCCCCCUCCCCUACUCUUCCCUUUUCCCUUUUCUCACCUCCCCUCUCCCUCCUCUCCCUCGUCUCUCGAGUCUUCCCUCCCCUCCCCUUCCCCUGGCCCCCUGCCCCGUCCAACCAAACCCCCAAACACAGCACACACACACACACUCCCGCUCUCUCAACUCACCACCGCCUUGGCCAUCUUGUCCGGAUUCUGAACCAGCAGGUACAGGGUCCACGUGAGGGCGCUGCCUGGGGGGGGCGGGGGGGGGGGAGGGGGAGGGAGGGGCAGAGGGAAGGAGGAGGGGGAGGGGGAAGGGGAAGAGGAGAGGGAGGGGGAAGGGGAGGGGGAGAGGGAGGGGGAGGGAGGGGGGGUAGAGAGGGAGGGGGAGGGGGAAGGGGAGGGGGAGAGGGAGGGGGAAGGGGAGGGGGAAAGGGAGGGGGAGGGGGGUCAAACGAUGCCAAGGAGGACGUCCAAAACGCGCGAGGCCGGGAGGAGGGACUCNNNNNNNNNNNNNNNNNNNNNNNNNNNNNNNNNNNNNNNNNNNNNNNNNNNNNNNNNNNNNNNNNNNNNNNNNNNNNNNNNNNNNNNNNNNNNNNNNNNNNNNNNNNNNNNNNNNNNNNNNNNNNNNNNNNNNNNNNNNNNNNNNNNNNNNNNNNNNNNNNNNNNNNNNNNNNNNNNNNNNNNNNNNNNNNNNNNNNNNNNNNNNNNNNNNNNNNNNNNNNNNNNNNNNNAUGAGGGAGGGGGGGAGAGAGGGGAAGAGGGAACGUGUCGAAGAGGGAGGGAGGGAGGAGGAACCGUAGCGGCGCCAAGACGACAUGGCAAACCCCAGGACACAAUAGGAACACGAAAAAGCUGAUCCAUCACAUCACAUCAUGUCUGUCAGUGCGAACCGCUUCCCCUUCCCCCUCCCCCCCACACACCCCGACAAGUGUGCAGUUUAGUUGCACCCACCCCCGCAUCACGGUGGCGCUCCGCCAGCUGAGCGGCCGCUGUUGGGCACACCUACCUCGCACUCACUACUUACUUAGUGCCAGUAACACCAGUAACACCAUCAGACACCACGACCGUCAUGAUCAAUUGGCCAAAGUUCCCCCUUACGAGGCCGUCUCCAGGAGUAUCGAAUCUACUCUUCUCUCCUCCACAAGGGCCCACCGCGCCCACACCGCACACCAGGACAUGGUGUAGGAGCGCUAACGUGGCAACCUCACAAGUCCAGACAGCAACAACGUGGAAAGAAUCUCAUACGCUAAUGUCGUAUUCAUGGACUUAUGUACACCAGGUACGCCACCGGAAAGUGGCCUCACUCAUCUCUCACUCCUCCGCACUCCUACAGCUGUUUGAAGGUACUUCGGAUGUCCGUCCGUCUGUCCGUACAUCCGAGCAGUGUUGGCUUGUCGUUAUUGCUUCCCAUCUCGCAGACACGUUCAUCGCCAUCAAAGGCCACCCCCCUCGAGCUUUCACUGGCGCCCCCCCACGUGUGUGUAUGUGUGCGUAUGUGUGUGUGGAGGGGGGAGGGAGGGGACUUGUAACUUUUGCCUCCCCACAGGCACACACAUCCGCNNNNNNNNNNNNNNNNNNNNNNNNNNNNNNNNNNNNNNNNNNNNNNNNNNNNNNNNNNNNNNNNNNNNNNNNNNNNNNNNNNNNNNNNNNNNNNNNNNNNNNNNNNNNNNNNNNNNNNNNNNNNNNNNNNNNNNNNNNNNNNNNNNNNNNNNNNNNNNNNNNNNNNNNNNNNNNNNNNNNNNNNNNNNNNNNNNNNNNNNNNNNNNNNNNNNNNNNNNNNNNNNNNNNNNNNNNNNNNNNNNNNNNNNNNNNNNNNNNNNNNNNNNNNNNNNNNNNNNNNNNNNNNNNNNNNNNNNNNNNNNNNNNNNNNNNNNNNNNNNNNNNNNNNNNNNNNNNNNNNNNNNNNNNNGAGAGAGAGAGAGAGAGAGAGAGAGAGAGAGAGAGAGAGAGAGAGAGAGAGAGAGAGAGAGAGAGAGAGAGAGAGGAAAAGAGGGCAGAGGAACUUACAACCCCACCCCACCCCGGGGUGCAUACACGUGCACGUGCCGGGGGGUCCGGCAAUCCUUAGACGCGGCUAGCUGAGCCGUGUUGAACAUGGGACCAGCAUGAACCUCCGGAAGGAAAUUCGGAAAUUUGGAAACAUGGAAAGCAGGUGCAACGGCUUUCCCGCCUGCCAGAGCCGCACACACACACACACAGCCGGGGGUUUGGAGGGGAGGGGGGGACUAUCUAUUACCACCAGGUUAUGAGGUAAACAAGACUCUGGUCCAUUUUGGGAGGGAAGGGGAAGGGGGGAAAGACGAACCACGAGCGAGUGAAGCUGCAGGAAGGGGGGAGGGAAAGAGAGACACACACCGGCGGCUGGGUGGUGGGUUUGAUGGUUGGUUGAGGAAAGGCACGACACGACACUGGUGCUGCUGCUUGGCUGUGAAAUCCCCAUUGGCAGCUGCACAGAGAAGUACAACGAACGCGAAACACACACACACACACACACUGCGGGAAAACAGGUUUUUUUUGACAGGGCGCCGUACAAGAGUCGAGUGUCGUACCUGGAGCGCCUUGCGCUGGCGCGGGAUGAGCCAGCCCAGAGCGGGGACCUGCACAACGUGCGUGUGUAUGUAUAUAUGUAUGUUGCCGCGCGAGUUGUGUCAAGGGUCUCAAGGAGCUGGUUUGUACGGAAGGCAGCGUACGGCAGCACCAGCGCGGAGUUGCGUCAUGCCGUACUAUUCAUUAACAAACAUCAUAACAAUACGCACCAGCAUACAAAACUCCCCUCCCCUACAAUGUCUCUUUUCUCGCCUGCAUGCAUGUACGAUGGAAGUCGUACACGCCGACCGCAGACCAUACCCCAUCUCACCCCUCACGCCUCCUCCNNNNNNNNNNNNNNNNNNNNNNNNNNNNNNNNNNNNNNNNNNNNNNNNNNNNNNNNNNNNNNNNNNNNNNNNNNNNNNNNNNNNNNNNNNNNNNNNNNNNNNNNNNNNNNNNNNNNNNNNNNNNNNNNNNNNNNNNNNNNNNNNNNNNNNNNNNNNNNNNNNNNNNNNNNNNNNNNNNNNNNNNNNNNNNNNNNNNNNNNNNNNNNNNNNNNNNNNNNNNNNNNNNNNNNNNNNNNNNNNNNNNNNNNNNCUCACCCACCCCCAUGCGCGCGAUCAGUUCUCAGCCCUCGUUUCAUAGCACGUUUGCAAAUACAUACAUACAAACACACACAUGGUGCGUGUAAGGUAGCCCCCACCUUCCAAAGCGGCAGCAAGUCCGUCGCGCGCUGUUCCGUCUCCUUAAGCGCCGUAUAGACCGCCUGUACGGCAAUAUGUACGGGACGUACACCGUACGAAGGAUUCCACAUCAACUAAAGUAUACGUGCGGCCCAUGCCAAAGGGACGAAAAAUCGUCCUCAGAGACUCGUCCGCCGCCCCGGAAGGACAAUUCCACAUCUCGAGGUGUGCACUGCACACACCACAUAUGUAUAUCUUGUCGGGACCCACCACCGCAAUUAGCGGUUUAGGGUUCUCGGUUCGAUUCCUGGGUAGACCCUGACAUUGUAGAUGGCUACUUACUCAGAUGUGGAGGGUCAGAAGUCACAGUUGAUGGACCGAGAUUUGCACCACACUGGAUUGGUGGCGAUUGCUGAACCCUCUGUCUCUCAUACGGAUGUUCGGGUGACAUGGUGAUGACACAUAUAUAACUACAACACAUGACAACAAAAUCUCCCCAAACGACGACGCCUCCGUUUUCUCGCCCCCAUAUCCCAAUGUGGGACACAACACAACCCGAUGCUGUCCGUACUAUCCGUACUACAUGUAUUGUGUGUGCACUAAAUGUACUGUACGUACUGCAUAUAUACGUAAACAUUAUAUGUACUGCACUGUACUGCAUGUAUUGCACGUGCUAUCCGUACUACAUGUAUUGUACGACAAGGAGUACAGCCCUCCCCACUUACCUGGAUCAGCGGCGAGUCGCUGGUCAGGGAGUUGAAGUCGUAAUUGAAAACCGCCUUGCCUAUGAUGUCCAGGGUCAGCUGUUUGUGUGUGUGUGUGUGUGUGUGUGUGCGUGUGUGUGUGUGUGUGUGUGUAUUGGGGGGGCAGGGGAGUAGGCCGUAUUAAUGUAACGCAAGGCGGGGGAAGGGGACUCAUCAAUGAAAAGACAACAAAGCGGCAGGCGGCUGGCAGCCAGCCUGGGGAACAUCCGCAAACUCAAAAAUAAACUGCAGAAGAUCGAGAGAUGAUUGCGGGAUGAUGCCCCUCUCCCUGCCACUACCACAACGCGCUUCCCCCCACACUUUUUCCCUUCUCUCCUGCCAAUGUCUUUCACACACACACACACACACACACACACACACACACACACACACACACAUACACACACACACACACACACCACCUGUGAGAACAUGGCCUCCAUGUUGACGGGGGUUCCUGACCUGGCCGCCACACGCAACUUAUCCGCAGCGAACUCCGACGAGGGGCCGAACACCCGGACUAACAUGGCCUCCAAGUAGGCCCUGGGGGGGGGGGAAGGGGGGGAGGGGGAGGGGGCGGAGGGGGCGGAGGGGGAGGGGGAGGGGGCGGAGGGGGAGGGGGGAGGGAGAGGGGGCUGGGUGGUGCGUGUGCUGGGGGCCGGAUCGCAACAUGGUGGGAGGAUUUGCGGUACUGUGUACGACUGUACAGCAGCAGCAACAGCAGCGGCAGGGCGGCACCAUGUCGCGAAACGUAUUGUUGAUUACGUGGACGCAUGAAUACACAUACAUGCAUAUAUACAUACAGGCAGACCAAGCACUGAGUCGGGACGCGGGAACGCAUGUUUGUGUUUCCCCCACCCACGCGCUACUACCUACUUGCUCAGCCCGCGCAGCCUACAACCGCACCACAACCAACACACCUCCCGCCACAUGCCCUCCAACCUCACAGGGGGUGUUCCCCCAAAACCCCCAACACGUACACAAAGGCAUACACACAUACACACGCACAUACAUACACACGUACACACCCACCUGUGCAACGAGGGACCCACAGCGCGACGGCGGACCUUCCAAUCGUCCCCUCCCGCCACCGCAAAUCCCUUCCCGAACAGAAACUGCGACACCUCCGCCACCAGCCCCUUGUUGUAGAUAUUGCGCUGGGAGUUGUCGGUGGCCCGGAGGACGUGCUUGGCGGCGGCUGGGUCGGAGAUAACCAGGAAGCUGGACACGGGGCCUGCAUGCGCAUGUAUGUAUGUAUGUAUGUAUGUAUGUAUGUAUGUAUGUAUGUAUGUAUGUAUGUAUGUAUGUAUGUAUGUUGUUACAUGGUGGUUAACUUCGCCAGCGGCCCCUUUCCCGGGCAGUCCCUGCUCUCCCCUGCUAGAGGGGCACCCUAAUCCGUCACCCCAUCCGACUUCAGAAUGUAUUCGUUGGGUUCGGCAACUCACCACCAGCAUCCAACCAAAUCUAGCGGAUCAACGGCGCAUCAACUUAGUUCCUGGUUAGCUCGCAAGUUGAUUUUAUCACGUCCUACAUCGUCCAUACGAUGGGGGGCCACCUCCCAUUUCAUCACUCCUCAAACACCCGAGGAGCCGGCAGACGGAUUUGAACCCGGG